rnacentral:tRNA from 1 species
GCCACUGUGGCUUAGCUGGUAGAGCAGCUGAUUCGUAAUCAGCAGGUCGGGGGUUCAAAUCCCUCCAGUGGCU